ensembl:miRNA
AGGCCGUGUGGUGGGAGGCGAGGGUGGUCAGGACUGCCGUCGACAGGGCGACCCACUUUGGGCUCCGAGAAUCUGCUCAUUCAAGGUCGCUUUGGUGGGGGCAGGGCGACAGCCGCCCCUCGGCCCAGGGGAGCAGUGAGGGC